rnacentral:tRNA from 1 species
CGCGUGAUGGCGCAGUAGUAGCGCAUCGGUCGUCGGAACCGAAGGACGCAGGUGCGAAUCCUGCUCACGCAA